GUGCUCACUUUGGCAGCACACACGCCCAAACUGGAACAAUACAGAGAUGAUUAGCCUGGGAGCUGCCAAGGAUGGUACACUUGCUCAUGAAGCGUUCUCUAUUUUC